rnacentral:rRNA from 1 species
GUCCACGCCGUAAACGAUGGAUACUAGCUGUUCGGAGCAAUCUGAGUGGCUAAGCGAAAGUGAUAAGUAUCCCACCUGGGGAGUACGUUCGCAAGAAUGAAACUCAAAGGAAUUGACGGGGGCCCGCACAAGCGGUGGAGCAUGUGGUUUAAUUCGAUUAUACGCGAGGAACCUUACCAAGGCUUAAAUGUAGAUUGACCGGUUUGGAAACAGACUUUUCGCAAGACAAUUUACAAGGUGCUGCAUGGUUGUCGU